UGGCGACCGGCGCACGGGUGAGUAACACGUAUCCAACCUGCCGAUGACUCGGGGAUAGCCUUUCGAAAGAAAGAUUAAUACCCGAUGGCAUAGUUCUUCCGCAUGGUAGAACUAUUAAAGAAUUUCGGUCAUCGAUGGGGAUGCGCUCGUUAGGUUGUUGGCGGGGUAACGGCCCACCAAGCCUUCGAUGGAUAGGGGUUCUGAGAGGAAGGUCCCCCACAUUGGAACUGAGACACGGUCCAA
rnacentral:rRNA from 1 species